rnacentral:rRNA from 1 species
AUUGAACGCUGGCGGCAGGCCUAACACAUGCAAGUCGAACGGUAACAGGAAGCAGCUUGCUGCUUCGCUGACGAGUGGCGGACGGGUGAGUAAUGUCUGGGAAGCUGCCUGAUGGAGGGGGAUAACUACUGGAAACGGUAGCUAAUACCGCAUAAUGUCGCAAGACCAAAGAGGGGGACCUUCGGGCCUCUUGCCAUCGGAUGUGCCCAGAUGGGAUUAGCUUGUUGGUGGGGUAACGGCUCACCAAGGCGACGAUCCCUAGCUGGUCUGAGAGGAUGACCAGCCACACUGGGACUGAGACACGGUCCAGACUCCUACGGGAGGCAGCAGUGGGGAAUAUUGCACAAAGGGCGCAAGCCUGAUGCAGCCAUGCCGCGUGUAUGAAGAAGGCCUUCGGGUUGUAAAGUACUUUCAGCGGGGAGGAAGGGAGUAAAGUUAAUACCUUUGCUCAUUGACGUUACCCGCAGAAGAAGCACCCGCUAACCCCGUG